rnacentral:lncRNA from 1 species
AGGGGUCGGGUAAUACAAUGUAAAUGAAACCACGUGAAAAGAAAAAGUUUUUCGAGAAAUUGGAAAAAAGAAUCACCUGAUUUGGACAACAAAUGCGAAAAUUUCAUGGUGUAGUAGUUUCAUAUGCACUACAUGCAAGACACAAACUGUGUUGGUAACUGUGCAUACAUGGUUUCAUCUAGAUGAAAUCCCUCUUACCUCUCACCUCAUUAACGCACUGCCACAUCAUCACAAAUUUUGACAUGGCACCCUAAUUAACGUGCAUGAAACCUCUAUGAAACUCACACUGGGAUUAGCCAAGUGACAGGGGGAGUACACUUUUAGGUUAAUC